AAUGUGGAAUUAAUACCAUAUGUACAAGCAUUAAUAGGUAUUGACUUUGAACACUCAGUGAUCAUUUGAGGGUAAAUGAGCUCUCUUCCUUUUCUCACCUCUAAACAUACUGUCUCGGUGAAAUUUAUCUUAUGUUCAUCACAGCAGGUUCUUCUGAAUCUUGGGGGUGAAGUGGGUGUAGUAGUUUUUAUUAAUUAAACAAGUACCCUGCCUGCCUAGUACUUUGCCUGACUGGAGCUAAGAAGCAGAUAUAUCAGAUGCAGAAGCAGGUUAAGCUUGUGUUUGUGGCGUCAAAACAACAUGAUGGACCAGGAACUGGCUCCAGUGCUGGUUUGGGCACAUGUUCAUUGCUUCACUUUGGCAAAUCCCACAGUGUUUUUGUUUCUCUUGGACUUUUUCCUUGGUUCGUGGGCUUUUGAGGGACGUCCAGCUCUACAUACAGACCAAUAUGUCCUGCCCAGCCACCUGCUUUGGAUUCAAGUCAACUCCCAGGGGUUUUGUAACAGAUGUGUAAAAUGUUCCAGGCUACC